rnacentral:lncRNA from 1 species
AUGCACACACCUGGAAUUAUCACCAAGUCCUUCUCUCCUUCUCUGCCUCCAAUCAGACAUCUCAACUACCCCCAAAUGGGGUGCCCACACCAUCCCCCAUUCACAGAGCCCCCUGAUUCUGUAGCUCCUGAGGCCCUGCCCCCAGCCCCCAAAUGUGUCCUUUGCAGAACCGGCCCCUUCGCCCUAGGAGUCGCCCCAGCAGGAGACUCAGGCUGGAAGAGAAGCCCUCUGAGUCCCUGGAAGAGAGAUAACUACAGCAACUAGGACAUUACUGGUAUAUGCCAUAAAUAUUGGGAAAUCAGUAAAACACUGUCAAUGAAUCUAAACAUAUCACUCUAAUGACACAUUUUGUAAUUCUAACAUUAUAAUCAACACAACUACUAUAGAAUGAGUGUAGUUCAUUCUGUUUUCACUUUAUUUGCUUAUCUUCUUCCAGAAUAAAAUUUUAUUCUUCACCAGAAUAAAAUCUCUAUGAAAGAAAAAAUGUCUACUUUGUAUAACAUAUUACUCCUAGUUAUUUAUCAU